AAAAAAAAAAAAAAAAAAGAAAACGAUUAAAAAAAAAUUUGAUAUAGCCGCCCGUGAAUUUUCCUAGUGAAAAGAGAUGAAAGGGGGGCAAUGAAUCGAUGCAAAUAGUGUAAAAAAAUUAUUUUAUAUAUUUUAUUAUUAAAUUAAAUUUCAACGUUCAUCCAGUGAUUUUUAAAAAAAAAAAAAAAAACAAUUUGAAAAAUUUAUUUUGCUGUUUUGAAAUUCUUAUGACUAAAAUAUGAAAUCAAAAUAUGAAAGUUAUUGAUGAAUAUUUUGAGGUAGUGUAUUUCUCAACAUCAGUUCAAACUAUAAUGCAAAAGAGACCCAUAUUCCCCUUUGAUUAUACUUUUAAGAUCUAAAAUUCUAUUGAUUUUUCUUUUUUGUCAUUCUAGUGACAAUUUUUGUUGAGAACUUGAAAUAUAUUGUUUUAGGAUGUUAGAGAUGCCAAUAUGUUCAGUGAAACUUUGAAUGUUACCAAAUGUAUUAUUUUGUUGUCAGGACAUGGUGGCGUAGGGGCAAUGAUUGCUGGGGGUGCUGCUGCAGCAGCUGCUGCUUAUGGUGCACACCAUCUGUCGCAUGGUGCACAUCCCGGUGGUCACUUUGGAUAUGGUUCACACAAGCCUGGCAAGUUCAAGCAUCACGGAGGCAAGUUCAAGCACCAUGGUGGUGGUAAGUUCAAGCAUGGGAAGCAUGGGAAGCAUGGAAAACAUGGAAUGUUUGGAGGGAAGUUCAAGAAAUGGAAGUGAAAAAGCACGUAUAACUAACUUUGCACUCGCAGAUUCAAGUUUCUUUGAAUAAACAGUGCAUUUGAUAAUGCCUGACAGAAUUUUUUUAAUCGGCUGUGUAUGCUGAAGUUUUUGUUAGGUGAUCAUAAUAUAUUCAUUUGGUGGCUUCUAAUUUGUAUAUUGCACAUUGUGGUGGAGCAGUUUGCUUAUUUCUGUUUCCUUAAGUUUGCCAUACUAGAUUCUUUUUGAGCGACAAUAGACUCGGUCUCGACUAGACCGAGUAGCUUAUGAUAGAUGUCACGGACUUGGUGAUUUCAACACCAAAAUCGUACGGCACUUUGUCAAUUGAAUGGACUAAGUCUUUAUUAUGUUAGCCCAACAAGUAGACUAACAAGGGUGACAAAAGUCGCUUAAGGAAGCUAAGUACACAAAAGGAACAAAAGAAGAGAAUUUAGCAAAAGGGAAAAUUAUAUUACUCUUUGAAGUAAAAAUUUACAUGGCUUUUGUGUACAAUUAAGUUGUAAUACACUUGAAAAUAUGAAAUAUGAAUGCAAAUGAUUUGCUAAGUCUCUAUUUAUAGGCUUCUCCACUUCUCAAUAAUGUGGUAGAGAAUAUACCUCUAAAGUGGACGGUAAGGAUUCAAUAUCUUCCACCUUCAUAGUUUGGAUGGCUAGGAUGAAAUCUCCUUGGAAGGUAUGCACCUCCUUAGCUACAUAAUUUCAUGACAUCUUGCAUGGAGAAUUCUGGAGUUCCUUAGAAGCUUCUCAAAGUCAUCUUCCUAUAAGCUUGAAUUGCUACUCAAAGGCACUUUCUUAAAAGCUUCAAUUGCUAUUCAAAGGCAACCUUCGAGAAGUUUCAAUUCUUUAACAGCUACUCAAAGUCUCCCUGGAAGCUUUCUUGGAGGUGUGGAGAAAUGGCUAGAUGAUUCUGGGACUUUUCACACAAGAUUUCCAGGUGCUUGUAUAUUCUAAGCCAUUUCGAGAGUUCCAGCCGAUUCUAUUGCAACUGCUCACCCACCUGGCCCAUUGGUGAUCUUAUGUCACCAACCAUGCUAGUCGCUUGGGUAAUACCUGUCUUCCUCCUAUACCUGUGAGACUUGUGUCUAACCUCACUA
rnacentral:misc_RNA from 1 species